GACGAACGCUGGCGGCGUGCCUAAUACAUGCAAGUCGAACGGAGUGGCGCACGGGUGAGUAAUAUAUAGCUAAUCUGCCCCUUGCUGGAGGACAACAGUUAGAAAUGACUGCUAAUACUCCAUAGCAAGGGAUGAGACUAUACCUGAUCAGCUAGUCGGUGGGGUAACGGCCUACCGAGGCUAUGACGCGUAACUGGUCUGAGAGGAGGAACAGUCACAUGGGAACGGAGACACGGUCCAAACGCCUACCGAGGUCAGCAGUAGGGAAGAGUGCGCAAUGGGGUAAACCCGGACGCAGCAACGCCGCGUGGAGGAUGACACUUUUCGGAGCGUAAACUCCUUUUGUUAGGGAAGCGGUACCUAACGAAUAAGCACCGGCUAACUCCGUGCCAGCAGCCGCGGUAAUUC
rnacentral:rRNA from 1 species